UGCUUCUACAGCUCAUCCCAGAGGACAUCGCGCUUGCCUACACUUGACAACCAAACUCAACCAAUGAAUGGAAGGUGCCAGAGUUGAUUCACUUUCUGCAAAAUGAGGUGCAAAGCAGAGAAAGAGCGCUUCAACUUACCAGACCAGGCCACACAUCGAAGGACCUUAACCCACAACACAAGCCUGUGGUUAAGUCAUCCUACGCCUGCGAUAAACCCCGAAAGUGGAGCGUCCCUUCAGCGACUGCAUUGCACACUGCUAGUGCUGUGCCUCAGACCUGAGUGUAUUGUGACAGUAGUGACCAUAAACCAGAGAACUGUCCUGAACAUGCAGCAAGUGCACGCAAGGAUAAGCUGAGAAAACUUGGACGGUGUUAUGUCUGCUUAGGCCCAAAGCAUAUCACAAAAUAUUGCAGAGUGAAGGUUUUGUGCAACUUAUGCAACCGUAGACACCACCUGUCGGUUUGUGAGCAGUCUGAAGCUAAGCCAGCCAUGGACGUA